GCUCAAUUUGAAAUCCCCCGGGAAUUGGUAAUUUGAAGGUGGCCUCAGUUAGUCCAAGACAUUCUUAAGUCCAUUGGAAAAGUGGCGCCAUGGAGGGUGAUAGCCCCGUAAAGAUGUCGUUUGUUCUAUUUUCUCUGGCCACCAAAGAGUCGAGUUGUUUGGGAAUGCAGCUCUAAGUGGGUGGUAAAUUCCAUCUAAAGCUAAAUAUUGGCGAGAGACCGAUAGCGAACAAGUACAGUGAUGGAAAGAUGAAAAGCACUUUGAAAAGAGAGUGAAAAAGUACGUGAAAUUGUUGAAAGGGAAGGGCUUGCAAGCAGACACAACCUCGUGUUGGGCCAGCAUCGGGGCGAGAGGAAGUAAAAACGAUUUGGAAAUGUAACUUUCGAGUAUUAUAGACCUUAUCCCUCCCUUCCAUCUCAUCCCGAGGCCUGCGGUAUAUCCUAGGAUGCUGGCGUAAUGGUUGCAAGUCGCCCGUCUUG
rnacentral:rRNA from 1 species